rnacentral:misc_RNA from 1 species
GUGAAUCAUCGAAUUUUUGAACGCAUAUUGCACUUUCUGGUAUUCCGGAGAGUAUGCCUGUUUGAGGGCCAGUUAAUUAAAAAUCGGGGUGUUUGCCAGCUUUGGUGGUGACGUUGCGGAUUUGGGUCGUCUUUACCUUUCGGUUAAGUGACUUAAAAUUUGUGAAUGAUAUAUGAACGUAUUUAAAUUUAUUUGGUAUGUCUUUGUACUUUGGAAUGUUUAUUAGGUGUAGUCAUCCUUAUGACCCAAGUGU